UGAAUAUCCAUUCACCCUUCCUUCC
rnacentral:piRNA from 1 species